AUACGUAGGGUGCAAGCGUUAAUCGGAAUUACUGGGCGUAAAGCGUGCGCAGGCGGUUUUGUAAGACAGUGGUGAAAUCCCCGGGCCCAACCUGGGAACUGCCAUUGUGACUGCAAGGCUGGAGUGCGGCCGAGGGGGAUGGAAUUCCGCGGGUAGCAGUGAAAUGCGUAGAUAUGCGGAGGAACACCGAUGGCGAAGGCAAUCCCCUGGGCCUGCACUGACGCUCAUGCACGAAAGCGUGGGGAGCAAACAGGAUUAGAUACCCUGGUAGUCCACGCCCUAAACGAUGUCAACUGGUUGUUGGGGAUUUAUUUUCUCAGUAACGAAGCUAACGCGUGAAGUUGACCGCCUGGGGAGUACGGCCGCAAGGUUAAAACUCAAAUGAAUUGACGGGG
rnacentral:rRNA from 1 species